AGGAAUAGUUUUGGUUCAGGGCUCUUCUGGGACUCUCAGACGAGCACAGACCCAGAAAUGUUGUUCUGGUGAGACAAAACCCCAAUUUUCCUUUUUCUAGCAGGGCUUUCUCCUUGGUUCUCCUCCAGAGAAGUGCCCCAAGACAAGGCUGGACUUCCAAACUGGGAAUUGCUCUGGAGCUUGUUCAUUCUGAGAUGAAUUGCGAGCUUCAGCCUUGCCAGUGAGCUCACCCUGGUUCUGAGUCUCUAGUGGGGAUUUAUCCAUCUGAAAGUGCCCUGAAACUACUCCGCUUUCUAUGAAGCUCAGCCACUGCAGAUUAAAGCUGGGAGUGGAUUUCUGACUCAGAGGCCUUGCAGACUUGCACUGGGUCAUGUGAAUGUCGAUGGCACCAGAAGCGAGACUUGGAGCCACGGUGGAAAACACAUUCAUUGCCCAAUUUGAAUGUCAGCAGCACAGCUCAAGUUUCUGAUGCCAGCAGCGAUCUCAAAAGUUUUAAUGAGGUCUGAGUUUGGAGAAAAUGUUCACGAAGUUCGGAUACACUGCGGCUCCUCUUGGGCUUUUUUGGAAACCACCGAGCUUGGGGAGUUCAGGAUCUGCUUGAGCACUGCAGAUAAAACAAAGGGUUCUGUGCUGCCCAGGUGCAGCUCUGAGCUCACACUCAGGCUCACUCAGCUCUCUGCACACAGCAGCCACACAAAACAAAUCCUGUUCCUGCUGCACACCAAGGACACCUGGGACAAGAUUUCAGUCCAAAAGCACAAACAGCGGGGGCUGGAGGAGGAACAAGAAGGAUGGGACCUCACAGCCUGGAGCUGGGAUGGGACAAUUAAACCCCAAUAUGCAAAUGGACCAAAACUUAUAAAAAUCUCUGUCCAGUCUCUGCUCCAGCUCAGCCUUCCCAAGGCAUCAACAGGAGGGACAGCUUUUAUUCAAAUUGUGCCCAUGACUCCUCCUUGGCCUCGUUCCUGUCCCUGUGUCUGGCUCUGCCCAGAGGCUCCUGGUGACACAGUGACAAUGUGACACCCUGGGACUUCCGUGCUUUCAGUUUGGGUUUGCUUUUUCAGAGUGCUGCCACUAAAACUGAGUGAGGUCACCAGCCCAUUGCUAAAGACGGGUAAAAGCCCACAGGAGUAACUCCCUUUGGAAGGGGGGAUGGAAGGCACACAGCUCCAGCUGCCUCUGGGGUUUGUGUCAGAGAAUUGGUGCCUUUCUGUCAAAUUACAAAAUCUGUUGAAAAAAAAUCAUCUUCAGACUUUAUUCUGGUGUUUUACUUUGCCACCAGCUAAGCACUGAUGAGAAUUUGGAGUUGUGUACAUUUAGCUUUGUUUCUUAUGAAAUUAAAAUCCUCCUUGUUUGUAUUUAAUCUCCACUUUAACUCCUACUGCCGUUCCCCAAGUCUGAGGUAUAAAUAACAGGAGGGAAAUCCUGACCCGGGGAGUUGAACACACGGGUUUUUGUUUAUUCUGAGUUAAAUAUUCUGU